rnacentral:rRNA from 1 species
AGUCGACCCCUAAGGCGAGGCCGAAAGGCGUAGUCGAUGGGAAAAUGGUUAAUAUUCCAUUACUUCUGUGUAAUGCGAUGAGAGGACGGAGAAGGCUAAAUCAGCCUGGCGUUGGUUGUCCAGGUGAAAGGAUGUAGGCAUGUAUCUUAGGCAAAUCCGGGGUACUCUAUGCUGAGAUCUGAUAGCAAGCUGUACUUGUACAGCGAAGUGGUUGAUGCCAUGCUU